ensembl:snRNA U6 U6 spliceosomal RNA
AUGCUGACUUCGACAGCACAUAUACUAAGAUUGGAAUGACACAGAAAAAAUUAACAUGGCCCCUGGGCAAGGAUGACAUGUAAAUUCAUGAAGAAUUUGAGAACAGC